GUUUUAAGGACUGGCCUGAUAGAUUACUUUCUACUUAAAGAUCCAGCGGGAGGCGGGGCCACGUGACCGCGCGUGACGUCAGGGCCGCCGCGGAGCCGGCCAAACUCAAAAGCCGUAACUAGCUGCUCGGAGUUGUUAAACGACUUAGCAUGUGAAAAAGUCGGAAAUGAGGCGCUGGGGAAGGAGCCGGGAGUGGAGCGGCCUGGGUUUACAGAAACCCUCCCGGACUGAACUCCGCGGAAGCCGGCAGCAGAGCGCGUGGAGGCGGCGGCGAGGACGCGGCCCGUGCACACCGAGUCUCCUUGGCAAGGGAGCUGCACCGCUUUGUGGCCCGCGGGCUCCGAACCGCUCCCAUCGCCGUCUACACAGCCUCCCGCGAAACCGACUGGAGCGGCGAGCUGGCUGCCCAUCGCCCCCCGGCUGCCGAGGCCGCGGCUGCAACUGUGCGAGGAAUCCAGUAAUUAUACAAAAGGAAGGUCGGAAGGACAAAACAAACCAACCGAAAUUGACAAAUUCUGAAUUUCCUUUGCUCAGCUUCGGUUGUUCAGCCCGGAGGCAGGCGCGGGCCGCAGCACGAGGCCCACCGCGGCCUAGGAGGCCGGGCCUGCGUGGACGCGUGCACGUGUGCGCGCGCGGGAGGGUGGCGGCCCCGGGGGGCAGUCCUGCGCGGUCUUCUUGAAGUAGCCUCCAAACGAGCCUGAUUUCGAUUCCGCCGCCCGCGGGGCUGCCUCUCCGACUCCCUCGGCGCGGCCGGCCCCUGCGCUCACCCUUCCUCGGCCAAGACCUGGCUUCAUCCAUCCACUCCCCGGUGUCUCAUUGGAACCUCCCUGGGGGAAAGGGGGGGUGGUGGUGAACAACUCCCAGCCGCCAGUUCCAUUUGUUGCGCUUUUUUCCUUCGACACAAUAAAAGUCAAAUUAAUUGAUUCAUACCAUUAAUUACGGCGCGUAGCGUGAAAAGCAAGCUUCCCCUCGGUUAGAGAUCUAUUGUGCUAAUCUCUUGUUCAAUCAGUGUUACCAUCUGAUGCCGGGUCUGGCCCUUACAGAAACUUUUCGACUCGAUUAGCUAAAUGAUGAGACGUGCAGGACCCGCUGGCUGCCGCCCCGACGUCCCGCGCCCGCGCC
rnacentral:lncRNA from 1 species